UUCUGUGAAAAGAAAUGUAAGAAUACUACUACCUAUCUAACAAGACCCACUUGACACUCUGACAAACAUUUGGGAAAAGAAAGUGUGUCUCCCCUUAUGUUUAUAAUUUUCUACAAAGUCCAUUUUCUUUUAACAUCCUUGAUCAUCCACAUUCAUACAAUAAGGGCUUCUUCAUUAAUAAUUCACCUUACACAUGAAAUGUAAACCAUAUCUGAAAAUAAAUUCAUUGCCAAAUUGAUGUUAACCGCCAAACCUUUCUAGUAAACUAUUUAAUAAUGGACAACAUAAAAGGAGUGUGAUUUGCUGGUUUCCUUUGUUUGUUUAACUUCUAUAGCAGUUUCAGAAGCAAGUGGCAUAACUCUGCUUUAUUUCCGAUUUUUAGAAGUCUGUUUAAAGUCCUUCAGGCCCGUAUUACCAGUGACCUGCCGACCAAUUCCGGGCGGGCGUCAUGGUGAUUUCCCAGAUAGUCAGUGCACCCAGGAUUGCAGUGGGGAAGGGUGAGUCCGCCAUGCCACGUGUGGGAUAGCAAUCAUCGGCUGGUUUCAAACCUCCCAGCCAGGCUCUCAGGAUUCACAAUAAUUCCCGGUGGUAGCGCUUGCUAAGCGACAAGUCGAUGGGAGAGAGGGUGAGGAGGAAAAUGACCCUGGGAGCAAAGUGCUGGCUUUACACACCGUUGGGUAUCUGUUACAUGUGAAUUUCCUCUGGCGCCAGCAGGUAUUUUGAGCAGGCAACCAGGGGAUACCCAAGGGGAAGGACGUGAGAGCGCAUAAGACGGAGAUGUAAGUUGGGGGAUCAAGGCUUUAAAGAUCCCAGAGGAAAUCGGUAAGAUCCGAUUGAUAGUCCAAAGGACGUUAAGCAGGAUAUGGAAGAUAGUUCAAAUCUCUGAGGCUUAGGGCUGCGGAGGAAGAGGGUGAGCAAACAAGGAGUAAACAAGAUCCCAGAGGAGAGGUCACACCGGACAGGCCCGAAGGAUAACGAGAGGAUUUGCCCUCGCUUUUGACCCUAGGGACUCCACAGGGCAAUUCCAGGUGGCUAAUCUGCCAGUGUGCAGGCGGAGGGGCUGCAUCCUUCCCAGUCUCUCCACGAAGCUGGGGAGGAAGGGAGGUGAGGCUCGAAGCCAGCCAGGGGCGCUGAAGUUCGCACGGUCUUCUCCGGAGGUCUGGCGGGCAAAGCCAUUGGAGCCCGGUUGCCGGUUGGAGCGCACAGGAAAAGCGACUGCGAUUUAUUUGGAUUAGUCACUAGGAAGGUCUGGGAAGACAGCUAUUUACCCGAUGCGGGACCCUGACAAAUUAAUUGGGCAGUGCAACAGAGAACAGUCCCUCUGACCUUGGGUGGUGCUGAGGCGGAAGGCAGGAUCCUCCCACCUGCCCCCGGACCGAAAGAGCGCUCUGUGACUGCGAGAGCCGCGUCUUCCCUUGCUGUCGUCCCAGCGGCAGCGCAUCCCGCCAGAUCUCCAAGAGGUGCCUUCUCCGGGCUAGAGCGAAUCUGGCACAGCCUCCAGGCCUGCAUUGGAGCCUGAACAGCCAGUGUAUCAACUACAGUGCUGCAGAGGACCAGACCUCCACCCGCCAAAAACUGGAGUCUAACAAGAGAAGUCUUUGCAGCUUAAUAUCCUGGAGGAGGAAGCUCAUACAGUGCUUGUGAGACUUGUGGAUGGAAGGCCCAGAGAGAGCAAAAAGACCUGAUCCCUUCUCUGAAGUUCUCAGUAACAACCGGCAGUCAACUCUCGAGAGGG